CCUACGGGGGGCUGCAGUGGGGAAUAUUGCACAAUGGGGGGAACCCUGAUGCAGCGACGCCGCGUGAGUGAAGAAGUAUUUCGGUAUGUAAAGCCCUAUCAGCAGGGAAGAAAAUGACGGUACCUGACUCAGAAGCCCCGGCUAACUACGUGCCAGCAGCCGCGGUCAUACGGAGGGGGCAAGCGUUAUCCGGAUUUACUGGGUGGAAAGGGAGGGUAGACGGUUAUGCAAGUGUGAAGUGAAAGCCCAAGGCUCAACCAUGGGACGGCGUUGGAAACGGUAAAACUGGAGUGCAGGAGAGGUAAGCGGAAUUCCUGGUGUAGCGGUGAAAUGCGGAGAUAUUAGGAGGAACACCAGUGGCGAAGGCGGCUUACUGGACUGUAACUGACGUUGAGGCUCGAAGGCGUGGGGAGCAAACAGGAUUAGAUACCCGUGUAGUC
rnacentral:rRNA from 1 species